AACGAACGCUGGCGGCAUGCCUAACACAUGCAGGUCGAACGAGACCUUCGGGUCUAGUGGCGCACGGGUGCGUAACGCGUGGGAACCUGCCCUUAGGUUCGGAAUAACUCCCCGAAAGGGGUGCUAAUACCGGAUAAUGUCUUCGGACCAAAGAUUUAUCGCCUUUGGAUGGGCCCGCGUUGGAUUAGCUAGUUGGUAGGGUAAAAGCCUACCAAGGCGACGAUCCAUAGCUGGUCUGAGAGGAUGAUCAGCCACACUGGGACUGAGACACGGCCCAGACUCCUACGGGAGGCAGCAGUGGGGAAUAUUGGACAAUGGGCGAAAGCCUGAUCCAGCAAUGCCGCGUGAGUGAUGAAGGCCUUAGGGUUGUAAAGCUCUUUUACCCGGGAUGAUAAUGACAGUACCGGGAGAAUAAGCUCUGGCUAACUCCGUG
rnacentral:rRNA from 1 species